rnacentral:ncRNA from 1 species
AACACAGCCGUGAAAAGGAAAGUAAAAAAGGGAUUUUGACGUCCAGAGAGUUGCCUGUUAGCUGAGAGGGCAGCCGCGAACUCUUUUUGAAAGCCACCUUGGAGCUCUGCUUUUGAAAAUGCCAAGUAGAAAGCAGCGGAUGGCCCACGUUAUGGGGCGCAUGUCUACGUAGACAGCACGAGUUUGCCUUUUGUGAGAGAGGCAAAAAAGCUGAGUGGUACCGCGAUACCUUCGCCUCAGCA